rnacentral:rRNA from 1 species
UACGUAGGUGGCAAGCGUUGUCCGGAUUUACUGGGCGUAAAGAGCGCGCAGGCGGUCGUUCAAGUCGCGUGUGAAAGCCCCCGGCUCAACUGGGGAGGGUCACGCGAUACUGAUCGACUCGAAGGCAGGAGAGGGAAGUGGAAUUCCCGGUGUAGUGGUGAAAUGCGUAGAUAUCGGGAGAACACCAGUGGCGAAGGCGACUUCCUGGCCUGUUCUUGACGCUGAGGCGCGAAAGCUAGGGGAGCAAACGGG